rnacentral:rRNA from 1 species
GACGAACGCUGGCGGCGUGCUUAACACAUGCAAGUCGAACGGAAAGGCCCUGCUUUUGUGGGGUGCUCGAGUGGCGAACGGGUGAGUAACACGUGAGUAACCUGCCCUUGACUUUGGGAUAACUUCAGGAAACUGGGGCUAAUACCGGAUAGGAGCCCCUGCUGCAUGGUGGGGGUUGGAAAGUUUCGGCGGUGGGGGAUCGACUCGCGGCUUAUCAGCUUGUUGGUGGGGUAGUGGCUUACCAAGGCUUUAACGGGUAGACCGCCUGAGAGGGUGACCGGCCACACUGGGACUGUGAUACGGCCCAGACUCCUCCGGGGGAGAGAAGUGGGGAAUAUUGCACACUGGGCGGAAGCCUCAUGCAGAACCGCCGCGUGUGGGAUGACGGCGUUUGGGUUGUAAACCGCUUUCGCCUGUGACGAAGCGAGAGUGACGGUAAUGGGUAAAGAAGCACCGGCUAACUACGUG